GAUGAAGAACGUAGUGAAAUGCGAUAAGUAAUGUGAAUUGCAGAAUUCAGUGAAUCAUCGAAUCUUUGAACGCACAUUGCGCCCGCCAGUAUUCUGGCGGGCAUGCCUGUUCGAGCGUCAUUACAACCCUCAGGCCCCCGGGCCUGGCGUUGGGGAUCGGCAGAAGCCCCCUGUGGGCACACGCCGUCCCUCAAAUACAGUGGCGGUCCCGCCGCAGCUUCCAUUGCGUAGUAGCUAACACCUCGCAACUGGAGAGCGGCGCGGCCAUGCCGUAAACCACCCAACUUCUGAAUGUUGACCUCGAAUCAGGUAGGAAUACCCGCUGAACUUAAGCAUAUCAAUAAGCGGAGGA
rnacentral:misc_RNA from 1 species